rnacentral:tRNA from 1 species
GCGGCUGUGUCGGAACUGGCAGACGAACGCGCCUCAGAAGCGUGUGGGCGAACGCCCGUGUGGGUUCGACUCCCACCAGCCGCA